UUAUUUAAUGGCCGCGGUAUUUUGACCGUGCAAAGGUAGCAUAAUCAUUAGUUCAUUAAUUGUGGACUUGUAUGAAUGGUUGGACGAAAUAUUUACUGUCUCAUAAUUAUUAUUUUAAUUUAAAUUUUGGGUUAAAAUGCUUAAAUUUAUUUAUAGGACGAGAAGACCCUAUAGAUCUUUAUUUUAUUUUUAAUAAAUUAUUUUAGUUUCUUUUUUUUUUAUAUAUAUAUAUAUUUAGUUGGGGUGACAUUUANAUAUAAAUAACUCUUUAUUUUUCUAAUCAAUAGUGUUUGUAUAUUUGACCUUUUAUUAAUGUUAAAAGAUUUAGAUACCUUAGGGAUAACAGCGUAAUUUUUUUUUAGAGUUCAUAUCGACAAUUAANAUUGCGACCUCGAUGUUGGAUUAAGAAAAUAAUUAGGUGUAGAUGCUUAAUAAUUAAGUCUGUUCGACUUUUAAAUUCUUACAUGAUCUGAGU
rnacentral:rRNA from 1 species